CAACCAAUCCAGCCCGGCUGGGUGUUGGGCGUCGCGGCCUGCCGCGCGCCUCAAAGUCCUCGGCGGAAGCCGCCCGUUCCUCUGCGUGAUGAUCCAUCGCCGCUUGGGAGUCGGGGGCGAGCGCCUGCACGCGUCGACGGAGACGUCGACUUCAA
rnacentral:misc_RNA from 3 species